UCCCAGGUGGCUCAGUGGUAAAGAAUCUGCCUGCCAAGCAGGAGAUGUGGGUUUGAUCCCUAGUCUGGAGA
rnacentral:tRNA from 1 species